rnacentral:rRNA from 1 species
ACUCCUACGGGAGGCAGCAGUGGGGAAUAUUGCACAAUGGGGAAACCCUGAUGCAGCCAUGCCGCGUGUGUGAAGAAGGCCUCGGUUGUAAGACACUUCUAGUAGGAGGAAGGUAGUGUAGUUAACACCUGCAUAUUUGUACGUUACCUACAGAAGAAGCACCGGCUAACUCCGUGCCAGCAGCCGCGGUAAUACGGAGGGGUGCGAGCGUUAAUCGGAAUUACUGGCGUAAAGCGCAUGCAGCGGCCUGUUAAGUUCAGAUGUGAAAGCCCGGGGGCUUAACCUCGGAAUUGCAUUUGAAACUGGCAGGCUAGAGUCUUGUAGAGGGGGUAGGAAUUUCAGGUGUAGCGGUGAAAUGCGUAGAGAUCUGAAGGAAUACCAGU